UAUUGCACAAUGGGGGAAACCCUGAUGCAGCGACGCCGCGUGAGUGAAGAAGUAUUUCGGUAUGUAAAGCUCUAUCUGCAGGGAAGAAAAUGACGGUACCUGAUUAAGAAGCCCCGGCUAACUACGUGCCAGCAGCCGCGGUAAUACGUAGGGGGCAAGCGUUCUCCGGAUUUACUGGGUGUAAAGGGAGCGUAGACGGCAGCACAAGUCUGGAGUGAAAUGCCGGGGCCUAACCCCGGAACUGCUUUGGAAACUGUGCAGCUAGAGUACCGGAGAGGUAAGCGGAAUUCCUAGUGUAGCGGUGAAAUGCGUAGAUAUUAGGAGGAACACCAGUGGCGAAGGCGGCUUACUGGACGGAAACUGACGUUGAGGCUCGAAAGCGUGGGGAGCAAACAGG
rnacentral:rRNA from 1 species